CGGCCUCAGCAGCAGCCUCGGAAUAGCAUUUUUUCGCCUGGCGGAGCUCACCCUCCGACUUUUUCAACUUCUUCGUCAGGUGGAGGACCUCCUUUUUUAGCCGUUGGAUAGUUGACUUCAACGGGACCCCCAGGGGCAAGGGAAGUGCUUCGGCGGGACACUGCCAUCGGAGGAUGCAAAUGUCAGAGACCAACUCGUUACAAGAAGAAAGGCAGAAAAGAAGAAGCAGGGGGAAGGAAAGGCCAUCCACAAUAAGAAGUUUGACUUUAUUGAUUAAUUUUGAAGACAAGCGGAAAGGAAAUAUGGCGGCAAAAGAAAGAUACAAGGUCGGAGGUCUCAGACCUCGGGGGCAGGGGGUGGAGAGCCCGGCGCGGGGGGUGCGACUGCGGCAGCGGCGGACGAAGGGGCGGCCUCGUCGUCAGACUCCUCCAGAAAGCCGAGUUCAAGGUCAGGGUAUCUGCAGGCCACCCUCUCUCGGCAGAGCUCGAACCCCUUGGUGAACGCCUCCAGGCCGAACUGGACGUUCAGCUCCCUCAUCUCCGCGGAGGUCUUGAACUCCUCCACCGCAAGGGUCCUGGCCUCCGAAACCAGAACCGGAGUUUGCUCGGCCAGAUGGGCGACCUCGGCCUCCGCCUUCCU
rnacentral:lncRNA from 1 species